UACGGAGGGUGCAAGCGUUAUCCGGAUUUACUGGGUUUAAAGGGUGCGUAGGUGGGCAGGAAAGUCAGUGGUGAAAUCUCCGGGCUUAACCCGGAAACUGCCAUUGAUACUAUUUGUCUUGAAUACUUUGGAGGUAAGCGGAAUAUGUCAUGUAGCGGUGAAAUGCUUAGAUAUGACACAGAACACCGAUUGCGUAGGCAGCUCACUAAACUGUAACUGACGCUGAGGCACGAAAGCGUGGGGAGCAAACAGG
rnacentral:rRNA from 1 species